UUACUUACCUGGCAGGGGAGAUACCAUGAUUACAAGGUGGUUUUCACAGAGCGAGGCUUAUUCAUUGCACUCUGGAUGUGCUGACCCCUGUGGUUUCCCCAAAAAGGGAAACUCAACUGCAUAAUUUAUGGUAGUGGGGAACUGCAUUUGCAGUCUCCCCU
ensembl:snRNA U1 U1 spliceosomal RNA